rnacentral:misc_RNA from 1 species
UUGUAUUGUCUUGAGCGUAUUGUGGGUUUCCUGUGUUGCAUACCUAACCAAUGGUAUCGUUUUGAUUGAUCGAAGUCCCUUUUCAUCUUGUGUUGCCUUUGCGACGCAUGAUGAACCUCGAAGCGGUCUCUAUGUUCCACCAUGUUGAUGCUAGUGUUUCGAUGUUGUGGCCUAUUGAGCGUUGCCUGGUUUCGUGGAUACAGAACAUGAUUUGGGCAUAGGGUCACUCGUGACUCUUGUUUUGUCCUUUACCAGUGUUCUUUAUAACGACGGUUCAUGCGCGCCUAGGCUCGUACCUGCGCGAUGUUCUUUGUCGAAGAGGAAUGCUACCUGGUUGAUCCUGCCAGUAGUCAUAUGCUUGUCUCAAAGAUUAAGCCA